rnacentral:lncRNA from 1 species
AAAUUUCUUUUAUUUCUCAACUUGGUAACCACCCACUUCUUCUUUUCUUGCUCUUACGUCUGCUUUUGAUAUUUUCAUCAUAUUUCUUUACUCUAUUUUUUAGUUCUUUUUCUUUUUUUCUUUUUCUUCUUGAAUAUUUGGGUUCUAUUUCAAUUCUUUCUUCAUUUUUUCUCUAGGUGCGUUGCCUUUAUGUUUUAGUAGGGGGUUUAGUGUUGGAUUUGUUGCAAUUUUGGUUCAUCAAAAGUGUAAGUUCAACUAUUGUUUUUUUUAUUGAUCUAGGGUGUUUGUCUUUCAAUGGGGUUUGAGUUUAAGUUUUACUAUUUGCAUUAUUUAAUAUCAUGUUAAGUAUUUUCCAUGGUUUUUGGAUAGGCGAAGGUUUGGGGAAUCAAGUUUCUCCAGUGGAAUAAGAC